AUGUCGCAGCCCGACAUCGACGCGACGAACCAGGCGCUGGCCGCCGCCAAGGAGCGCCAGGACACUGAGGCCGCCAAGGCCAAGCUGCCUCUCGCGACCCCCGCCGAUGGAUCCGGGACAAGCGCGGGGUCUUUCUCCUUGACCUCGCUGCACGCCCAGGCCGUCGGCCUCCACUCCAUCAAAGGCCACAUUCCCGUCGAGCUCGCGCUCGACACCGGCGUUCACCGGCAGUGGCGCACCUUCUUCCGCACCGCCUGUCGCAAGUACGCCCUCCUGGAUCACCUCGACUUCGAUGCUCCCGAUGCGCCGAACCCGGAGUGGUCUCUCCUCGACGCCACCGUCGUCUCUUGGCUCUAUGGGUCUGUCUCGCUCAGUAUCCUCGACGCCGUCAUGACGCCCGGCGACGAUCCCCUCGCCGUCGAUCUCUGGAACAGCAUCAACGGUCUCUUCAACGACCACAAGAUCAAUCGUCAACUCCACCUCACGGCCGAGCUCAGCGAUGUCAAGAUGGGAGAGAUGAGUAUGGCCGACUAUCUUCAGAAGGUCAAGUCCCUCUCCGAUGGGCUUGCGGAUCUUGGUGCCCCCGUUGAUGAUGCCGAGAUGGUGGUCCACUACCUCAACGGCCUCUCCGAGCAAUACGAGUCUGCCGCUGAUCUGAUCUCCCUCAUGCCCGGUAUGACCUUCGCGCAGUGCCGCUCGUUGCUUGCGCUCCAAGACAUGAAACGCAAAAACCGCCGCGCUCGUAACUCGGACACGGCCCUCUUCACCAACACCGGCAACCCUGGCAAGGCUCCUGGAAAAGGAAAGAAGAAGAAGAAGAAGGCCGCCGCUGGAGUCACCAAGGAGAUCAUCCCGGCGCCCACGACCCCGCAGGCUGCCACUCCUUCCUGGCCCUCACCGCAACAUCCCUGGAACGGCGCCAUCCAGAUGUGGCCCUAUGGCCAAGGGGGGCUGCUCGGUCGCGCGCCCCCCGGCUACGCCCCUGCUCCCAGCUACGCGCCCCGGCACACCCCGUUGCCGCAUGCGUUCUAUGCCCAGAACCCAUUCCUUUGGCUUGACCAUUCCACAAACACAAGGGAGGAUCAAGGUGGAGGGCCAUAUUUCCCAGAUCUGUUGGUGCUUGACAUACGCUUCACGGAGUUUGUCUUGUUGGCAAAGAUGAUAGAUUUGAUGACCAAUCUUAGGGAAGUAAAUACCAAGGGUGUCUCAUGGAGGUAUGUAAGUCAAGCAUGGGAAAAGCUACAGAACAUUCACAAGCUCCGGGUAACCGAAUCCUCAGAUGUGAUCACGAUGGACACACGCCCUUCGGUAGAUAUGAUGAAUAUUGAGCUCCUUGACUUGUCAGGUAACAUUCAUUUGGAAUCAUUGCCAGCAAUGACAUCGGCACGGUACUUGAAGAUGCUAGUUCUCGAUGGUUGUUCCAGCUUGCAACGUGUUAUAUUCGAAGGAGCCCCUCCACUGCUCGAGAGUUUUAGCUUCCAUGGUUAUGGCCCAGCAGAGAAGUGGAUACAUCCCAUACAGUUGACAGAAAAAGAACUGCGUCCCAAGUCUCGCAACGUCCCAGAAGCCAAGGUGAGAAGGAUCUCCCUAGAGGGUUGCGCUCGAUUGCGCAAUGUGUUCUUGCAUGCAUUGCCCAAUCUUGAGGAGUUGGACCUUUCUAGCACAGCCAUUAAAACACUUGACCUCGGUGCAAAGGAUGUUGCACGGCUCAAGAAGCUAUUCCUGUUGGGUUGUGAGCAACUCCAUAGCCUACUCUGGGAUGGAAGAAACCCUUCACUGGAAGUUCUACAUGUCGACACUCGUGGGAAGACUAGACCAGUGAUCCACUGUGGAGAACAGAGGCCCUCUGUCUUUGAGGGACACAUGGCUUUUACAGAUGGAAGGUUCAUUUGGUCUGUCAUAAAGGGACUCGAUCGGUAUGACCCCAAGGUGCACCUCCAUAUUUCUACUAUGAUCCAAAGCCAAGUCAACAUCUCCAAAAGUAUUGAGGAUAUUGGGACUACCCUAGAGGGUUUGGUUCCAGUAGGGCCCUUCUUACCUUACAUCGAUAUUGUCAUUAACAAGGAUACUAUCACACGCUCUUCCUUGGUGUGGGACCACCGACGACUUUAUCCUUUGAGUGUCCAUAUAGAGAUUGGUGAAGGAAGCCACCAUUUGGAGAGUAUGAAUGUCAAUGCAGAUUACAGAAAUUUCAUAGAGUAUAGAGUGAAAUCAUUGCAUGUGCAUGACAAUAUCUCAAUCACAGCUAACCUUCCAGCAUCAAGAAGAUCUUGGCUGCUUUUAGAAUGGUGUCAUGUUGAGAGUCUAUACCAUCUCCACAGGCUAGAGCAAAUAUGUGGGGUCAGAUCACUGAUCCCGCCAGUGCUGGAGACAAUCGCCCUUAGGGACUGUUGGGGCCUGAGACGGCUACCAGCAGUGUCGCGCCAAGGCCCCAAGCCGGUGGUGGACUGCGAGAAGGACUGGUGGGAUAGGCUCGAGUGGGACGGCCCCGAGGCUGACCAUGAACCAUUGCUUUUUGAGACAUGCCACUCAGCUUACUACAAGAAACCCUCCCGAGGGUCUCCGUUCUGA
rnacentral:rRNA from 1 species